UGUUUUGGAACUGUUCUUGUCAAUUCCAUUAAAAGUAACUUAAAACAAAUGCCUGUUAUUUUGAAUUUACACAAAAAAUAGAUCAACAUUAAAAUCUGUUUAUGUUAUAUUUAACACCCAAAAUCUGCCCAUUAGAUACUUGUUUUGAACUUUUUUAACAAACUACUAUUUUAACAGUCGCACAAAUACCAUCACAGAAAGAUUUGUUGUAGCUGGUAGCAAAAAAUACUCAUUCAGCAUUUAAAUCAAAGUCUAUGCUGCGAUAAGAUAAAUUGAAAGAUAAGUUUUGAAAGUUUUAAAGUUACAUUGCACAGCCAUCAGAAAAAUACUUCCACGUGAUACAAAAAAACCAUGUGUCAUGAUUAUAUUCUACUGAAAGAAACAUUUACUAAACAAAAGCAAACAUAUAAGAAGAGUCAGAAAUUGCGAUCCUGGAGAUUAUCCCAUAGAUGUUCAGCAAGCUUUGGAAAGAUCUAUAGAGUUUUAUGAUUUGAAAUCUUCUUAAUUAAUGAUGUAAUGGUUUAGUGAUUUGUAAGUGAGAGGUUCUGAGUUCGAUUUCCACCAUGUUCCUGGUUACACUACAAUCAGCUAUAGUUGAAAAAGAAGUCUAUAAUUUAUAAACAAAUUUUUUUUACAAGCUGUAGGUUUUUAUUUAUUUUUUAAUGCGUAGUUUUAAUUUUUAUCACAGGUUGUUUUGUACUCAUGGUAACAUAAGUACAAAAACUUAUGGUAACAUAAGUAAAAGAACCAAAAUUUAAGCAUACCAGUAGUUACACAAAAGAACUAAAAUUUAAAAUAUUUAUGCACAUAAAUUUGCUGUAUGGUCACAAACAAUCAAUCAACACUUAAGGGAAAACGGAGGUACAUUAGAAUAAAAGGGAUUUAUUUUUCAAACAAAGCAUAUUUUGUUGGUUGUCAAGACAAAAAUAAAGAUUAUAAGAUGAAUAUUCAAAAAUAUACAAAUACGAUGGCAACAAUAAGACAGACAAUGCUCUCAAACAGUACUUUCAAUUAAAUUUUUUUUUUUUUUUUAAACAAAAAUAAACAGAUAUACAACAAAUAUCACCAAACAAAAACUUAUAAAGCAAAAAAUUUAAUACAAAAUAAAAAGUAUGUAUACAAAUAUUUUAAGCCUAAGAAUGAAAAAAAUAAAUAAAUAAAUCAUUUACCACUCCACUGGUAGAAAACAUGAACUCACAGUAAAUUAAAAUUCUAAUGAAAACACCAAAGCAAAACUAAAAUAACUCAAGUAUGUAAACAAAAAUAAUAAUAAAUUUCCCUCUAAGACAAUUAAAACCAAAUAUGUGCAUCCAGCAUAAAUAAACCAAAGACAAUAAAAUUGCAAUAUACCCUAUUAAAAACCCUUUUAAAAUAAAUAAAACACAAUAAGUCUUAUAAAGUCAAUAAGUUUUAUAAAUUAUACACAAUAAGUCUAAUAAAGUUUUCAAUAAACUCUAACAUUGUCAUAGAUACUUCAUUUGAAUUUUGUUAAUCUAAAAUGUAAGAUUGUAAAUGUAACAAAAAUUAAAUAAUAUAUGAUAGUGGAAAAAACAUUACACAAAAAAAAUCAUUGAAAAUGUUACCUGCUAAAAUAUAAAAAUUUAAACAUGAAGGAUAUAAGAUCGUUUUAAAACACCAAAGUUGUGAAAAUUAAAACAAAGCUGAAGAAUAUGAGAUAAUAUAGCAUAAAUAUUCCUUGAUAAUAAUAAUAAUAUGAAAAUCAAUUGAUAAAUAAUAUAUUUGAAAGUACUGUUAUAUGACUUAAAUUAAUGCUUUAACAAGGCUAAAUAAAUUUUAGCCGAAUGGAUGGUUAAUAAAAUAUUUUCAUUGAUAUCACAAUGAUUUAAGGUGUGGGAAAAAAUAUUUUUUAGAAGUAAAGUUUUCUCUUGUGGACAAGUUAUGUCAAAAUCAGAAAAGUUUACUGUUAGCCCUUAAUACUUAAUUAUUCCAGAGUUUGGUCAUAUAUUUUCAAUUGUUGCUUAUUGAUGUAUAGAUCAAGUAAGCUAAAAUUUGUAGUGUUGAUUUUUAUUUAUAUAUAAAAUCUGUUGAUUGAAAAAAUUUGAACUAAAUCUGAGUCAGUAAGCAAAUUUAUUUUCACUUUAAAAAGUAAAUUAUUUUCAUAUGGAAUAACCUAUAAACCAUGAGUUCACUUUGUAAUGUAA